rnacentral:rRNA from 1 species
UACGAAGGGUGCAAACGUUGCUCGGAAUUAUUGGGCGUAAAGCGCACGUAGGCGGCUAUCUAAGUCGGAUGUGAAAUCCCUCGGCUUAACCAAGGAAGUGCACCCGAAACUGGAUAGCUUGAGUACAGAAGAGGAUCGCGGAAUUCCCGGUGUAGAGGUGAAAUUCGUAGAUAUCAGGAGGAACACCGGUGGCGAAAGCGUUCUGCUAGGCCUGUACUGACACUGAGGGACGAAAGCUAGGGGAGCGAAUGGG